rnacentral:rRNA from 1 species
CAGCCGCCGCGGGAAUACGUAGGGUGCAAGCGUUAAUCGGAAUUACUGGGCGUAAAGCGCGCGCAGGCGGUUAUAUAAGUCAGAUGUGAAAUCCCCGGGCUCAACCUGGGAACUGCAUUUGAGACUGUAUGGCUAGAGUGUGUCAGAGGGGGGUAGAAUUCCACGUGUAGCAGUGAAAUGCGUAGAUAUGUGAAGGAAUACCGAUGGCGAAGGCAGCCCCCUGGGAUAACACUGACGCUCAUGCACGAAAGCGUGGGGAGCAAACAGGAUUAGAUACCCGCGUAGUCCCUGUCUCUUAUAC